rnacentral:misc_RNA from 1 species
UUUUAUAACCUAACAAAGUAUUGUCAAAAUAUAUUAGUUUUAAAUGAGUCACAAAAGUAAAUAUAGAUUGUGUUUAAUUUGUUUUUAUUCUAUAACUUAAAUAUGUCUUUUUUGAAUUUUUGGUCGAAACCUGAUCCUAAAGAGGAGCAGAAGGAAACAGAUCGCGCACUGAGAAAAGUUGGCAGAGAUUUGGAACGGGACAGACUAAAACUUGAAAGGGAAGAAAAAAAAUUGGAACAAGAAAUUAAAAAGCUAGCGAAGGAAGGAGAUAAAGAGGGCUGCACAAUAUUAGCAAAACAGUUGGUUCAACUCCGUAAACAGAAGACUCGAUCAUAUGCAGCUAGUAGUAAAGUCACUGGAGUUCAGUUCCAAAAUAAGGCAAUGGGAGCCAAUGUAAAACUAGCCGAGUCUAUGGGCAUUGCUGGAAAAACUAUGUCAAAUAUGAACAAAAUGAUGAGACCUGAACAAAUAUCAGCCACAGUCAAUGCAUUUUCUAGGGAAAAUAUGAAAAUGGAAAUGACAGAUGAAAUGAUUAAUGAUACUUUAGAUGAAAUGCUUACAGAAUCUGGAGAUGAAGAAGAAAGUGAUAACAUUGUCAGCCAAGUUUUGGAUGAAAUUGGAAUUGAAAUCAGUGGAAAGAUGUCUGGAGCACCUUUGCCAGAAACUGGCAAACUAGGGGCCAAAUCAAAGGGCCUAACUGAUGAAGAAAUAGAAGCACAAUUAGCUAAUCUGCGCUCUUAAUAACUAUGUGAUAAAUAAAACACAUUAGUUAAAUCACAAUUUUUAUACUUGAGAUUAAUACAAGUGAAAUAGAAAAAGAUGCCCAUCAUGGCCUUGGAGAAUUACAGUUUUUAUUGGACAAUUUUGAAAUUUAGUUUGGCUUUUCUCCAGUAGAUGGCAGAAGAAUUCAUUAAUUUUAAUUUUUAUAAAAAAUAUUUGUUUUCAACAAAGGUUUUCAAC